UACGUAGGGUGCGAGCGUUGUCCGGAAUCAUUGGGCGUAAAGCGCACGUAGGCGGCUUGCCAAGUCGGACGUGAAAUCCCUCAGCUCAACUGAGGACGUGCAUCCGAAACUGGCGAGCUUGAGUACUGAAGAGGAUCGCGGAAUUCCCGGUGUAGAGGUGAAAUUCGUAGAUAUCGGGAGGAACACCAGUGGCGAAGGCGGCGAUCUGGGCAGAUACUGACGCUGAGGUGCGAAAGCGUGGGGAGCAAACAGG
rnacentral:rRNA from 1 species